GGUCGUGAGGACCAGAAGGAGUGACGCAGUGCGCGGGGGCGCCGGGCUGCCUCCGUUUGCUUUCCCCGCCAGCCGGGCACGGGCGACGCGCGGGUGGCACGGCGUCGUGCGGCAGGGCUAGGUCUGCCGAGCGGGGCGCUGCGCCGAGAGCCCCAUCUGUCGCGGGCAGGGACCCCGCGUAUCUCGCAGGAAGGGCCCAGGCGCCGGGAUAAAGCCACAUCCAGACCGCUGAGAGCAACGCCCAUUUCCCCAGAAAAGGGCUCUGCGACCGCCCAGGGAGGAGAGCCCUUAAUGGGACGAGAGGACCCGCAGGCUUCAGCGGGAGUUCCUUACCCGCUAAGAAAGGGCCCUUUCAUUUAGCUUAAAAAAAAAAGCCGCGGAGCUCAUCGCUUUGGCGUUUCCCGCCUGUAGAAAUCGGAGAAUGUGACCGCUUUUUCCUUAUCUCUUUGUAUUUAGUCUUAAUUUGUGCCAGUGUAAGCAGCUUGCAAGUCUCCCUAAAUCAUUCAAACACAUUUCUCCUUUUUCCUCAGCCCUUUGUUCCUUCUUAAGCAGUUACAAGUAUUGUGUAAAGCAUCUUUUUUUUCUAUGUUUAAGGCUAUGAAUCAGAAUGAUGAAAGAUCUCAAGCAGUUCAGCUUUAUCUCCACCCCGGCCCCCACGUAUUUGGAGUAGUGUCCAGGCUGAGUUUCACUUCAGAGGCAGAAAAAGGAGGGAGAAGUGGAGAUCAGCAAAGGUUAAAUAAAUUAGAAUAAAGAAUAAGACUGGAGGAGGUGCGGAAGACAGAUGGGAUUGAAGAAUUUGAGGAUAGCCUUAGGGUUGACUGCUUCAGAGGCCACAGUCUGCGCACUGCUGAGCUGACGCUCAAAAUCCCACACGGCUUUCUCACAGGGACUAUUAACCCAGGUCUUGAUUAUGUGGCAAAAAUCCGGGCUGCUAAUGAUCUCCUCUAAGGAAAGAAAAAAAUCCCAAAACUUGGAAGGAAAACACCCUAGUGCGCCCCUCCUUCUCCUGGCUGUGAGGAAAGCACCUGGGGCACAGAGAACAGGCGCUGCAGAAGAACAAACACACAAGUGCCAUCUUGUCCAGCUUCUCCAUUACGCAGAGCCUGGUUGCCGACCAAGUCCUUUCCUGCCCCUGCAUGCCAGCCUGGUCCAAAACAGUACUAGUUUCUCUUAAGUUCCUUGUGGAAAAUAUUUUGUUCCAAGACUGCCCCUGAAGCCCUGAAACACUAAUUGUACCUGAACGUUUUAAUUGAGCCUCAUCGGUUGAACCUUGUGAGGGAGGGGUAGGUCUCCAGAGUCUGAAAUAGUAAGGUGAGAGGAGACUCAACUCUAGGUGACACAGUUUGUCUCCUGGUGCCAAAAUACACUGCCUCUGGGAUCCCUGUUACUUGUGGCAACUUUUCUUUCUUGCUUCCCCUGUUCGCCCCUUACGCUGUAUAAUUCAUACCUUGCCUAGCUGAGUCCUUUCACCUUGAUGCCAAGAGACAAGUAGGAAUUACAGGGAAACCAUGAAAGUCUCUCUAAAAUUGGGGCUGGCUGAGCUUGGGAAACUACCAUCAAAUCAGUCGUUUACCCCCGUAACUAACGGUGUUCUUUAGUUAGGAUCUUGUUUUUUAAUUUUUCGGUGAAAGUAUACACAGUCAAAGAUAAAUCAUUUCAACAAUUUCUACGUGUACAAUUCAGUGACAUUGAUUACGUUUUUCAAGUUGUGCUAUCAUUUUCUGUAUUCUUUUCCAAAUUAUUCCACCACCAUUAGCUUAAACUCAUUGCCCGCUAAGCUUCCCAUGCAACCUUUUGAGUUGCCGUUGUCAAUUUGAUUUCAUAUAGAUAACUCUUUAAAAGAGCACAAUGCUAAAAGCAGAAUAAGAUAAGCGAUUUUUUGGUUCGAAGAAGACUUCAGGGAAUAAUUUUGGUUUAAGGUUUAAAGUUUAAAGAUUACCUCAAGGCAAUAUUUAUGGAGCUUCAUCCAGCCUUACUAGCUCCAGAAUGUCUGGAUUUCAUUUAGAAUUUGAAAUUCUGUUCUGUGUUUUACCCUGUCUUAAUCAGGAUUCUUCUAUAGAAUUUUUGAUCAAAGCAUUCAGUAAUGGUAGCCAGGCACCAUCCAGUUCUUCUGGUCUCAUGGCAAAGGAGGCAGUUGUUCAUGGAGGCAACCAGACACACAUUUGAUUUCCUCCUUCAAUUCCUGACUCCCCUUCUUGCUCUAUUGCUUCAGGUGAAGAGAGACCAAUUGUCAUACCUUGGAUGGCUGCUUGCUAGCUUUUAAGACCCCAGUCACUACACAACAAAUUAGAAGGUAGAACAGAGGUACUCAGAAAAAAUAUUAAGUCAAUUGAUUGGGAUGCCCCUUGAAACCAUGACCCUAAACCUCCAAACCAAGAAAACAAAUCCCAUGAGAUGUUUGGUUGUACAUAAGCAGCCUUGAUAGUUGGUUUUUUUGGGAGGGGGGAAAAAAAAACACAUUUGUCAACUCAACAUUUUUCAGAUGUAUACUUUAGUGAUAUCGUUUACAUUAAAGAGUUGUGUGGGAGCUUGGUUUUUCCCUAUUCUAUAGAACAUGGAAGAUCAGACACCUGGGGAUUUGUGAAGCAAAGGUGACACAUGCUAGAACCUAGCAGUGCUUUUGGUGGAUUUGUGAUCUGCUUCCUGCAACUCCACAGAACCAAAUUCAAUACCAUUUUAAACAGGGGAAAACCUAGCUCGAUCAUAUUGUUGUUGUUGUUAGGUGCUGUCGAGUUGGUUCCGACUCAUAGCGACCCUAUGCACAACAGAAGGAAACACUGCCCGGUCCUGCGCCAUCCUUACAAUCGUCGUUAUGCUUGAGCACAUUGUUGGAGCCGCUGUGUCAAUCCACCUCGUUGAGGGUCUUCCUCUUCUCAGAUGAAAUUGCUCUGAGAAUAACAGCAGUACAGGCCUACUGGCCAAGUUCUUCAGGUUCAUUCUUUAUUAGAAUAGAAACGGCCUGGUGGUAUACAUACCUGAUGAUAUACCACCAUUACAAGUACCAACAGAGCAGAAUGGAUGUCCAGUUCUGGAAGAAAUUUUCUAGGAAACGAUAACUCCUUAAAUUUGUAUAAUGAUAUUUUUCAAAGCAUUUUUUUUACAUUUUAAUUUUUCAUUAUUCAUCUUUUCAUUCCACAAAAACUCAUGCAGCAGCUGCUAUAUGCCAUGCACUGUGCCACACUUUGGGGAGACAAAGCUCCUGGAGCUCGGUCUCCUGUAAUUGUAAUAACACUUCCAUCAGCAAUAGUCCCUGUGAUUAUUUAAAGGUGUGAACCACACCUAUAAUGCUGUAAUCAAAUACAGCAUAAACAGGUUCAUCUAGCUCACUAAAUUCUAUUUGUUUACUUGUUCAAGAGAUAUUUCUUGAGCACUUACUAUGAGCUAAGGACUGUGCUUGUCAUUGGGGACACAGAAGAUUGAAAUACGUGUCUCCGCUUCAAGAAGCUGUGAAUCUAAUAAGAGAGGUGGACACAUAAGCAGACAAGUACGAUGCAAUGUGGGAGCACAGUGUGAAGGACACUUUUCAUUAUCCACCCAGUAUUCAUUCUCAAUCAUUUCUUUCUGGCUAGUAGAGCCCUCUUCCCAUUAACCCAUUGCCAUCGAGUCAAUUCCGACUCAUAGCGACUCUAUAGGACAGAGUAGAACUGCCUCACAGGAGUUUCCAGUGCUGUAAAUCUUUACAGAAGCAGAGUGCCACAUCUUUCUCCUGCUGGUGGGUUUGAACCACUGACCUUUUGGGUAGUAGCCCAGCACUUAACCACUGUGCCACCAGGGCUCCUUUCUUCCCAUUAGGAAAGUGAAAAAUGCUUUCUCAGCUUCCCUUUUAACUAGCAAAAGGGCAUGUUACCAAAUCCUGGCCUAUAAGUCUACUGGAAGGAUUCUGGGAAAGAUUUCCCACCUGAAAAGAGCGAUUCCUAGAGGGAAACUUCUAUCCCUGUAUCUUCUUCCUGAUUUUGGAUGUUGUCAUAUGGAGCUGCUACAGUCAUCUCGUGGAAGAGUCAAGUGAAUUGCAAAGAUGACAAAUUAGAACUCUGGUGUCAUUGAGUCAAUCCAGGAAUUAUCUACUUUCCGACUUGUUGUGAAGAGACAAUAAACCGCUAUUGUUUAAGUUGCUGUAGGUGUGGGAGUUCUGUUACUUACAACCACAAGCAUCCUAAUUGAUACAUGCAAUGAUAGAGGCAUUGUAGUGCAGAGAAAGUGUGCUCCAGGGGCCCCAAGAGAGGUAUUUAGGUGACAACUACGCUCAGGUCUUUAAAGAUAAGCAGAAAUUAAUCUAGUAAAGGGCCAAAGGGCACUUUAGGCAGAAAGGAUCAUAAUAAGAGCAGAAAAGCUACCAAAUAUGUGGGGGAAGCUUAUUGGCUACAAGCCUUUAGUGUUGUAGGAGUCUAAGUGUGGAGCUGGGAGUGUUAAGGCUUGAGGCUGUGGAGGUUGGCAAGGGUUGGAUUGUACAGCGAGUGAGGCCUUAGUUGCUACAAAUGAGCUGUAGCUUUAUUUUUUCUGUUGGCUUGGUCAGAACAAUGUGAGUGGAAGAUGGAUUUGAAGCGGACAAAAUGAGGCAGGGAUUCCAAUUAGGAAAAUUCAGGAGAGAGAGGAAGGAACAGAAUUAAGGUGACGGAACAGAGAUGGAGAGGAACAGAUGAUGCCAGAAAAUUCAGGAGGCACACUUGAAUAAUCUUGUACAUCAAUGUUAUUGUCCAUUAUGGCAAUUAGGCAUAAAAGGUAAGUGAUGAUACCUUGUCAGGUGGCCGAGAACAGAAAGCUGACGUUUAUCCUAAAUGCCAAAACUAUUUUUAUCAUUUUAUAUGAAAAAUUGAAAAAAGUAAUACCUACUUCCCUGUCUUCUUCAGUGGAGUUUACUAGAUGUUAACUAACCUUUUCCUGAUGACUCAUGGUCAUCAUUAUGAAAAGGGAGGCGUCAUGGUAUAGAGGAAAGGGCUAUGUCAUGGUAUAGAGGAAAGAGACCUGUUAGACAUCAGAGGAUUUGGGUUUAUUCCCAGCUCUGCCAUUUGCUAAACUGUGUGAUCAUGGAAAAGUCACUAAGUCUCUCGGAGGAGUUGUUUUCUCCUCUGCUGCCUGCUUCACAGACUUACUGUGGAGAUAAACUGAGAUAAUGUGAAAGAGCUUGGUAAACCAGAAGGCACCAUACAAUGAGGUAUUAUAAUACCUUCUGAAGUGAAUUGACAGGCAACACAACACCCAGUCUACUUUUGAGACCCAUCGUCUUCUCCCUCCCUGUUAGGUUGUUUGUUGUCUCUUUGCGCUCUCCAAAGGCUUUUCUGUCUAGAAGGCCUUUCAUCCACACCCCACCUCAUUCUCCAAGGGCCAUGGGUUAGGAAACCAGAGGUCAAACCUCUAAAUUACUUUGUUCGGUUUAACCCAGUAAGGCUCCACGUAGAGGCCUAAGGACCUGUCUUUGGUUCAAGAGAUUUGUGUCAGCUAUUUUGGGUGCUUAAAGGCCUUUUUCACUUCCGGAUUUGGUGCUGCAUUCCACAGAACUGAGGUUGUCAGAUGUCUGACUUCCAGUUAAGUGGGGUGUAACUACGGUGCUUUUAUACUGCCAAAUGAACUGUUCAGUUUUUACGCUUCCUGCUUAGUUAGUUCUCUUUUACCUCUCUGUACCCAGUUUUCUAUGAUACCUUGUACAGAUUUAUCUUCACCACUGAACCACACACCAUGACAUAAAUUACGACAGAAAACUUAACUGUAACUUUUCAAUAGAGGAGAUUCUUGCAUUUCCUCCCUGAAGGGUUUACGGUCUUUAAGCUUUCCUAUUCUCUCCCCUGACAUCUGAAAGGGUUCUCGACUUGCAUAUUGAGGGGCUUCCAGCCCCCAGCACUGAUUGUGAGAGCCUAGGAUAAUUAGGUAAUUAGCCGAGAAGACUUAUAGCAUAGUGCUUAAAGCUUGGACUUUGAGUAGGACCACUUGAACUUGGGUGUAUUACAUAACCUCUCUGGAUCUCAAUUUCCUAAUCUAUAAAAUAAGACUAAUGCCUUGUUUCAAGGAAACAAUGUAAUAAUGCAUAUAAAGUACUUAUCACAGAUCCUGGUACAGAGUAAGCGCCCAUUAAAAGGAAGAUGAUGAUACUGGUUAGAAAAACCAAUGCUGGGAAACAGUAAGGCUGAGGGAAGCAGGGUGUGGAUUCCUUAGGACAAAAGGAGAAGAUAGGAGUUGUUAGGAGAUGAGGAGUAGAGGAUCCUAAAAGAGCAUUGGGUUUUUGGGUAGAGUGGAUUCCAGACCACAGGCUGGGUUUUGAAUUAUCUAGCAAUUUUUUUUUUUUUUUAGCAAGGGCAGCCCCUGGGAUCUGAUCUGGGCUAGGUUUGAGAUGUAGAGAGGAGAGAGGCUGAGGUAUUCACUACCUUCUUCAGGGAUCUCAGCCAAGUAUGAAACCUGAACCUUCAGAGCAAGAAACUCUCCCUAGACUACUUCAUCCCAGAUCCUGCCCUUCCUUUCUCACACGUUUUUCCUUCUGAGUACCCAUCAGUUUACUCUGUGUGGUAGAUUAAAGAUGGUCACAAACUCUUUGACAUGACCCUCUCAAGAGGUGGGGUCUAUUUCCCCUUCUCCUGAAUCUUGGCUGACCUUUGACUACUUUGACCGAUAGAGUACAGCUGAACUGGUACUGUAAGAGUUCUGGGCCUAGACCUUAAGAGGAUUUAAGCUUCCACAUUGCUCUCAUAGCCCUAAGCCACCACGUAAAAAGUCCAGUUACUCUACUAGAGAAACUGUGUACAAAGACCCAGAAAGGGAAAGGGAAAGGUACCCAGCUGAGUCCAGUUUUUCUGCCAUCUCAGCCAAGGUACUAGGCAUGUGAGUAAAGCCAUCUUGGACCAUCCAGCCCAGCUGAGCCACCAGCUGAAUACCACUGGGUGACUCCAGUCAGUACCAUAUGGGGCAGAAGAAUCACCCGGCUGAGCCCUGUCCAAAUUCCUGACCCAGAAAAUUAUGAGACAUAAUAAAAUGGUCCUUAUUUUGAGCAGCUAAAUUUUAGGGUGGUUAAUUUCAUAACAAUAGAUUACAGGAUAUCCUUAAAGGACAAAAUAAGGUUUAUUUGCAAUAUUUUCAGUGGGCAUAAGGGAAUAAAGAGAGCUCUCCAUGACCUCUCCGUUAAAAUAUUAUUGGAGAUAAUUAUUGUGGCAGGGAAUGUAGUCAAUUAAAGGCCUAAAGUUUGGUUGACCUGGGAAAGGAAAUUGACCAAAACUUGCCUUACUCCUAUAAGGGUGGACUCUAUUAAUUAAAUUAUUUCAUGGUUAGACAAAAAUUUAGGGACAUGUUUGGGAGGGAAAGCCACUGAAUACUGGAAAAGGGUGGAAGAGACCAGGCUGAAAGAACUGGGAAAAUGACUGCAAAACACAAUUUCUAGAACUUGACAGUUUUGCUAGGGCCAGCACUGCUUUCUUUCAAUCAUAAGUGGACAAAAGCCAUACACACAGCCUGGAAUGUAUAGGCACUAUCCUCAAUACACAGAACCCCAAAUCAGGGGAGCUGAGACAUGGUGAAGUUAUUUGCUCAGGUUAUCUGACGUGUCAGUAGAGGAAACGGAAUUCUGGUCCAGGACAGAAGAACAUACAAAUAAUGAUUGUCUUGGAGUUCUCCGGAACUCUGAUUCCUAGAAGUUCAGUCUUUCUUUUCCCAGUGGUUAUUUUCCAUCAUUCUGGGAGGUGAGAAGGGGCAGGCAUGCUCCACUAUCUUUAGACAAAGGGGGAGAGCUGAGCACUGAGAAAUGGGCUUACACACAGCCCACAGCUCUGAAAGAGGCAUUCUGGUGUGGUGGGAGAAUUUCAAAGGGAUCAGGUGUCUGUCCUCAGGCACUUAUAUUCGACAUGGGGAUAUGGCACCUGCUUCCUCCAAGUGGAUGGGGGAAGGCAGAAAGCAAUGACUAAGGAAGAUCCGGGCAAUUAUAGCACAAUGCUGCUCAUGAAGCCAAAGACAGAUGGAGUUAGAUGAGGCACCAGCCAGAGAAGGCCUCUUGGUGGAGGUGAUAGGCAUGAAUUGGGAAGGAGGGGUGAAAGAGGAUAUCCUAAGAGCAAAUGUCUUAUGCAAAAUUUCAGAGGUAGAGAUAAGCAAUGUUCAUGUUUAAGACAUGAUAAGAAAAUUGCCCAAGAUAGAGCACAGGCCCUCGCUGAGGAGGCAGGAGUGAUAUGAUUAAGAAAGUGGAGGGAGGGAAAGGGUAAUUAACCAGGGAUCCUGGCCAGAUACUCAGGGGCUGUUUCUUUCUCUGAGUCUGAGUUCUCUGAUCCCAAAGCCAAGCCUCCAACUCCUCCCAGUUCUACCCUUACAUUCUCAUUUCCCAUCUGUUUCUUCUGCUCUAGCAAUGAUCAUAAGAGCCCUGGUAAUAGCUACCAUUUGUUGAGUGCUUACUGUGUGUCAGGCACUGCACGACACCCUUCUUGUGCAUUUUCUCAUUUGACCUUCUUGGAAACACUAAGAGGGUAGCCUGCGCUUUAUAGGUGAGCAAACUGUGAAACGGAGCUGGGAGCAGAGGUUUGGUAACUUGCCCCAUAAGUCCCUUGUCACUCCUAAGUGACAGAGUGGAAAGGAGGCCAGGCUAUUUUCACCUCAUGUGUACUGGCUUCCACAUUGUGGAAAGGAUUGUACGCAGGACCUGCUGCAUAACUGGCCGGGGCUGGUGCAAAAUGAAAACACAAGCCCCCUUGUUAAAAAAUGACUAAGAAUUUCAAGAUGGUGACAGUAGAGCAUUAAAUCAAGUGCGGGGCCCUUCUGAGUGCAGGACCCGUGUGACUGACUGCACGGGUUACACCCAUGAAACUGGGCCUGAUUGUGUGGGUCACUGCAGAGACAGAGGAGGGUCAGACACACUGGGCUGAAGUGCUGCCAGCAGCCUGAGUAGGCCCUCUCUGCUCCACCAUUUCCUCUUGCCUUGCCUGGGGAAAAUCUCUCGGGACCCUCAUUUAGGGAGGACAGGGAGGGAAGGACGGGGAAAGGCAGCAGGAAUUGACACUGCCAAUGGGGAGGCUGGGGUAAAGCUCCAACUGGGCUGAUCUGUCUUCGAGGGACCCCUCACCCCCAGCCUCCAAAAAUUCAGGGGGGAGCUGCCUCCGGGUGCAGUUUAUGCUGCAUCCAGGGUAACAUAAUAUAUGGCUAUGGAGCCAUGCAGUAAGAUAUGAAUGGGAUUAAUGAUCUGGGGACUCAUGGCUCUUCAAUGCUCUUUAAAUCCCUAAUUAUUUAAUGCACGCUUACUGUGUGGCCAGCGCUCUGCUAGGUAAUGAGGGCAGGAGGCAGAAUAAGUAAAAGGAAAGUUAAAGUUCUUUCCUCAAGGAAUUGCACUCUAGUUGGGAAUAUAAGAUUUCAAAACAUCAACUAUAAGACAAUGUCAAAUAAGAAACAAUUACAUGAUCAAGCGCCAAAGUAUUUGUCAUGUUAGUCAUGAAUAUUUUGUGUGCUGCCUGAAAGAGGAGAGGCCAGGGUUGGCUUAAAUGAAUUAGUAUGGAAGGCUUUCAUGAGAAGGUGGUAUUUGAGUUUGGCUUUGAACUGUGGGUAGGAAUCAGAAAACAAAACAAAACAAAACAAAAAAAAUACCACCAACAAAAACACCUAGUUGCUGUCAAGUCAACACCAACUCAUGGCGACCCCAUGUGUGUCAGAGUAGAACUGCACUCCAUGAAACCUUCAGUGGCUGAGUUUUUCGAACGAGAUUAUUAGGCACCUCUGAGUGGACUGGAACCUCCAACCUUUUGGUUAGCAGCCGAGCUCCACCUAGGGGAGUCAGGAAUCAGAAAAAGAGGUGGGGGGAAACAAUUCAAAGGUGGUGUGUAGAGUGAACAGGAAUGUUAACAAAGUAAGCAUGGUGAUUGUGUGAGCCUGGGAGAUGACCAGAGGGCUGAGCCAAGGAUGGAUGCUGGGCAGAAGAGAGGGCCCUGGAGUCCAGUUUGGCUCUGUGGAAAGCUAGCUGCGUGGCCUUGGGCAUUACUUAGGCUUUCGAGCCUAGAUUUCCUUCUGUACUUAUUUAUUUUUUAUUGUACUUUAGAUGAAGGUUCACAGAGCGAAUUAGUUUCUCAUUAAACAGUUAGUACACAUGUUGUUUUAUGACUUUGGUUAACAACCACAACAUGUCAACACUGUCCCUUCUCAACCUUGGGUUCCCUAUUACCAGCUUUCCUGUUCCCUCCUGCCUUCUAGUCCAUGCACCUGGGCUGGUAUGCUUCUUUAGUCUCAUUUUGUUUUAUGGGCCUGUCCAAUCUUUGAAGGGUGAACCUCAGGAGUGACUUCAUUACUGAGCUGAUAGGAUGUCCAGGGGCCAUACUUUCAGGGUUUCUCCAGUCUAUCAGGCCAGCAAGUCUGGUUCUUUCUUUCUGAGUUAGAAUUUUAUUCUACAUUUUUUUCCCAGCUCUGUCCAGGACCCUCUAUUGUGAUCCCUGUCAGAGCAGUCAGUGGUGGUAGCCGGCCACUAUCUAGUUGCACUGGACUCAGUCUGGUGGAGGCUGCGGUAGAUGAGGUCCAUUAGUCCUUUUGGACUAAUCUUUCCCUUGUAACUUUAGUUUUCUUCAUUCUUCCUUGCAGAGCCUAGAUUUUCUUAUAAUAGUUUCUGCCUGUUUAGGUCUCUUGGUUGUCAAACGGUUUGUGCUCAACUACUAACCUAAAGGUUGGCAGCUUGAACCCACCCAAUGGUACCCCAGAAGAAGGACCUGGCCAUCUGAUUCCGUUAAGAUUAACCCGUUGCCGUAGAGUCAAUUCCGACUCAUAGCGACCUUAUAGGACAAAGUAGAACUGCCCCAUAGUGUUUCCAAGGAGCAGGUGGUGGAUUUGAUCUGCUGGCCUUUUGGUUAGUAGCCGAGCUCUUAACCACUGCGCCACCAGGGCUCCAUCUAUUGAGAAAACCCUAUGGGGCAGUUUCACUCUGUGGAACUGUCUUGGAUUCAAUUAGAAGGCAAGAGUUUGGCUUGUUUUGGCCUGUUUAGGUUUGUUUUAAGGAUUAAAUGCAAGUAAAGCAUUCAGGAUAGAGCCUGGCACAGAGUAAUGCUCAAAAAAAUGUCAGCUAUUAUUACAAUUAUGUAUUCUGAAGAUACAGUUUCAUGCGUAAGUAGGAUUGGAUUAUGAAACACUGCCUCCCAUCAAAUCCUGGCUCCGAUCUUUAGUAGUUGAGCUCACUUGGACGAUUUACUUAACUUCCCUGAGCCUGUUUCUUCAUCUGAAAAUAGAGAUGAUAAUGUCACCUACCUUGUAGGGAAGUGCAAGGAUUAAAUGACACAAUACAUAUAAAACACUUAGGACAGGGCUUGGUACAUAAUAAGAGCUAAUAAAUGUUAAAAAAAAAAUGUUAGCUAUUUUUUAUUAUUAUAGCUAAUGAAUGCUCUCAGAAUCCUGCGAAGGCUUUUCAUUCCCGUGUCGUUGUUGAGGAAACAGAGGCUCAGAGGUUAAGUAACUUGCCCAAGGCUACCCCCACAGUGGCCAGCCAGAACUUCAUCCUUUCUAUGAAGGAAAAACAGAGUCCAGUCAGCCUUCCUCAUCCUCCAAGUUGAAACUCAUCUCUUUGAUUUCUAAGGAGCUCUGUGCUUCUGGUAUUAGACUUAGUAGAGUCUGACUUACACCGCAGUGACUUCCUUGAGGGCGAGGCAGGUGUCUUACUCAUCCUUCAUGUCCCGGCACCUGACGUCAGCCAGCCCCUGAAGGUGCUCAGGAAUGUUUGUUGACUUGAAAGUAGGUGAUCGGGGUCAGAGCUCAGGCACAGGCAGAGCCUGUGUCUGGAAUGUCAGAGGAGACAGUCAAGUAUGACUCGGAGGUUUCGAGUCUGGAUGUUGGGACUGUUAAAGAGAGAGGAAGUUGGGAGAAACUGAUGGCUUGGGUUUGAGAAGAAACUUGAGGGUGGGGGGAUGUAAAGAUCAGGUCUAGACAGGUUGUGUUAGAGAGAUGGGGGUCAGUUAAAUAGGAUUCCAGACUGUGAAAACUCAUCCGUGCCAUCCCCCUACCCCCUCUGUAGACUGGCUUGUGACCUGAGUCAAGCUCCCUGCCCUGGAGUUGCUCCUAAUGGGAGAGACCCGAGAUACACUCAGGAAGCCACAGUACUUACACAGCCACCUAUCAACACGCAGAAAUGAAAAAAGUGUUCGGUCACUGUGGUGAGGAUGAGGAGUCCUGGGUGAGUGGUGUGGGGCAAGAUCAGUCUAGGAAAGCGUCUUGGAGGAGGAGGCUUAGCUUUGGCCAAGACAGGAACAAUUAGCUGCUCUAAAGGGGAAAAGAGAAUGGGGGGUGGUCCUGCUCAUUACAGGGAAGACAGAGGUUUCCUGGCCUUUGCUGGGAUCUGGUACUGGUCCCCUAAACCAUCAGCAGGAGUGUUGGAGGGAGAACAGAUCACAGCUGUUGUGAGGGGGCCCGGAAAGAGAUCUCUAGGGAAACGAGGACAAGAAUAACCAUUCCAAUGCCCAGCACCAUUCCAUCACUCAGCUGCCUUCUUCUUUCACUGACGGGGCUUUUGCUUUCUGCCAUGUGGGCACCCUUCACUCCCACCCCCUUGUUCUUCCAUCCCCCUCCUUCCUUCCUCAUCAGGGUGUGGGGAUGAGAAGACCACCCUGCAGCUUGUGGGGAGAGGGGGCUUGGCCACCUGCCUCCUCCCUCGCCUCAGCCCCAUCACGAUCCAUCCUCCUAGGCUGGCAGGGGCCCAGGUGCUGUCCUGACAGACAAUUCAAGGGUCCUCCAUGUCUCCCAGCCCCCACUCCUAUCCCUCCACUCCCCCUGAGCUAGCUAUAGUGAUAAAACCCUGACACUCAGGAAAGAAGGGAAGGGGGUGAACGGCCCUUUUGGGCUUCUGGCCUCCGAGCUCCCUGCCCUCCCCUGUCCCCCGGUAUCUCCAGAGCCCCUCCCUCACCUCCCAGUACUUCCUUCUAGAUGUGCCAAAGCCCCAGCCUUCCCCUGCGUACUCCUCCCCCAGCCCUUGCCCCAGCACCCCCGCUGCCUCCAGGAGGGCACAGCAGCACCCGCUGCCCUGGCCUGGGCCAGCUGUGAGGAGCCGAGUGAGGAGGGGCAGGGCCAGCUCAGCUUCUGGGAUUUCCCCAGCCUACAGCCAGCAGGAAGUAGGCCUUGGAGAAGGGAAACCUUAGUCUUGGCCUCUGUCCAGCUACUAAGCAAGACCAAAGUUCAGGGGAGGAGCCUGUUUCCCUGGUCAGCUGGGGACUCCCGCUGACCUCUAAGUAGGAUUUGGGGGUUUAGGCUUCAGAGGCCCAGAUGGCAAGGUCAGAGUUGGGGGAAGAGGAAAGAUGGGUGGGACCUGGAGGGGAGUGGGGGUGAGAGAGACAUUUUGCUGAUCCCCACCUAUGUCACCCAGGCCUGGCUUUCUCUGUCUCCAAACUCUGCUGGGUAGUGGUGGGGGUGGGGGUGCCCUGGACUGCGUAUCCGCUCCUGAGCUGGGUGUGUGUGCCAGGCGGGCAUGGCCUGGGCAGACAGGGUGUCUGCAUCCUCAGGGCUGAUAAGGGGACUGCAGCUGUACCACCCGCCCCACCCUCAUGGGAACCCCAAUUGUCGCCCUAGAGAAGAGGGUGUUUGUGGGUACAGGUGGUCCACAAGUGGUCUCAUCUUGAGACAUACAGGAACUGGGGCAGGAAAGGGGGGUACUGGAAGCUGGUCCUUUCCCUGGUGCCUCAGUGUCCCCUCCUCUGGGGCUGUUGCAGUUGGAAAGUGGUGAGACCUGUGAGUCUGGCUGUGGGCGAAUGCCUCCUUUUCUAGUGGCUCUGGCCCACAGGCGCUUCUUGGUCAGUCCUCUUCUCCCUCCUCCCUGGAUCUCUCCUCUGCUCUUACCUCUGGUUGCCCUGUUCCCUGGCUCCAAAUGAGCCCCUGGGGACCCCUCAGCAGCAAAUACAACAGAGAAAGAGCAAGAACCAACCCCCAGAGAGGAUGGGGCAGACAACAGUGGUGACAGUGCACAUUCCACACCUGGCCCCACGAGCCACCCUUUCCCCAUCCCUUCUCCUGCUCUGCUCCUCGAAACCCAGGCUGGGAUCCCUUUUUCAGGCCUCUUGUUGGGGGCUGGGCUCUUCCACCCCAUACCUUGGGGCAGAGGAAAGAGAGAGAAACUGAGGCAAAGGGGGCGAGGAUAGGUGGGAAGGAUCUACUGAACGAGCUGGAGUCUGGGUCAGAGUGGGAAGGUAAGGGGUAGCACUCAGGAGCCAAGAACAAUAGCGAAUUUCUGAGGGUGCAGGGUGAAGCUGCGCGCUGAGCCAGCGCCCCCUGGUGGAAAGUGUGGCAGCAGCGGCGGUAGCCCUGAGCUGGUGAUCCAGUCCUGUGGUUGCUGUAGUCUUUCCUGGGUACCUGGAGGUGAUGGAGCUCAGAUGGUGGAGACUAGAGCCCUGCACAGAGCCCAGGCAAGGUUAGAAGCUCUAACAAGAGUUGGGUUAGAAAAAGACUCCCCAGGAAUCAAGAGGUCUGUGUUCUAUUUCACUGCUCUUUGGGGACAGCUCCCCUCCCCUGCCCACCUCAGUUUUCUCAUCUGUCAAAAACGUGGUGGACACAAUACAGGAGAAGUCAACACAACAAGACUAAACCAAAAGCAAAGAAGUUUCUUGAAUAAACUGAACACUUCGAAGGCCAGCAUAGCAGGGGCGGGGGUUUGGGGACCAUGGUUUCAGGGACAUCUAAGUCAAUUGGCAUAAUAACAUCUAUUAAGAAAAGAUUCUACAUCCCACUUUGGAGAGUGGAGGCUGGGGUCUUAAACGCUAGCAAGCGGCCAUCUAAAUGCAUCAAUUGGUCUCAGCCCACCUGGAGCAAGGAAGAAUGAAGAGCGCCAAAGACACAAGGUAAUUACGAGCCUAAGAGACAGAAAGGACCACAUAAACCAGAGACUCCAUCAGCCUGAGACCAGAAGAACUAGAUGGUGCCUGGCUACAACCGAUGAUUGCCCUGGCAGGAAACACAACAGAGAACCCUUGAGGGAGCAGGAGAGCAGUGGGAUGCAAACCCCAAAUUCUCGUAAAAAGACCAGGCUUAAUGAUCAGACUGGGACUAGAAGGACCCCAGAGGCCAUGGUCCCCAGACCUUCUGUUAGCCCAAGACAGGAACCGUUCCCAAAGCCAACUCUUCAGACAGGGAUUGGACUGGAAUAUGGAAUGGAAAUGAUACUGGUGAAGAAUGAGCUUCUUGGAUCAAGUAGACACAUGUAACUAUGUUGCCAUCUCCUAUCUGGAGGGGAGAUGAGAGGGCAGAGGGGGCCAGAAGCUGCCUGAAUGGACACGAGGAGGGAGAGUGGAGGGAAGGACGAUGCUAUCUCAUUAGGGCGAAAGCAAUUAGGAGUGUAUAGCAAGGGGUACUUGACGGCACUGGGUUUGUUGGGAUCAAGGGGUACGUAAAUUUUUGUAUGAGAGACUGGCCUGAUUUGUAAACUUUCAGUUAAAGCACAAUAAAAAUUAAUUAAAAAAAAUUCCUUCAACUCAUCUAUGUCACUAAAAAAAAAAAAAAAGAAAUUUUUUUUCCUCUGUAAACUUCUAACUUUUAUAAUCUUGUCAUUAAAUUCACAUUGAAAAUUGGAAAAAAAAGGCAUGUUAUACUAUGGUAUUUUCUGGUGUUUUAAUAAUAAGACUGAGCAGAGAGUGAAUGACAACACUUUGACACUGAAAUGCCUGAGUGGAAAUUCAUGGAGGAGGAGGGCACAGAUGUAGGAGAAACUGACCCAGAAGCAGAUCCUGAAAGGGCAAAAUAAUCAGAUGAACAAGGAUUGGUAUACAAGUGGUCCCACAACUUCCAAUCACUGUCUAGGCAAAGUGAAACCCAAAAGUCUUAAAUAAAGUAACAGAAUGUCUCAGCCUAGGACAAAACACAGCAAAGAAAACCUGGGAAAGGUAAUACUUAGAAGUUAAAGGAGUAAACAGCCUCCCAGAUGCUUGAUUGGAAAUAAAUUUAUUUUGCGACUAAAUGCAUGAUGAAUUGAGAUGAGAAAAAGCUAGAAGACUACUUAGCAGGCAUCCACUCUAACCUGGUUACAAAGUUGGGAAAGUCUAGUCUAAGGGUGUAGCAUGGAAGUGGGGAGGGACAAAUGUACAAUGAGUAACUUUCCAAGUAAUACCUUCUCUCCUGAGCAAAAGGAAAGACUACAUAGAGGAUCCAAAACCCAAAACCCAUUGCUGUUGGGUCUGACUCACUGCUACCCUAUAGAACCAAAUACAGCUGCCCACUAGGGCUUCAAAGGCUGUAAUCUUUAUGGAAGCAGACCGCCACAUUUCUCUUCUGCAGAGUGGCUGGGGGGUUUGAAUCACUGACCUUUCAGUUAGUAGCCCAAUGCUUUAACCACUGUGCCACCAGGGCUCCUACAUAAAGGAGAGCUCCUGGGAAAGGACAU